GACCCUGUAGCAUAUGGCAUGCAUCCGAUUCUGCUAGUCGCGGCCAAGAAAAAAUUCAAACGGAAGGACUCGGUUCGAUUCCGAGUGGGGUCG